rnacentral:ncRNA from 1 species
AAUGAAAAAGGCAAACUAAGGGCGACCUUAGGGCGCAAAGCCACCUGUCCUGAAAUCCCGGGAUAGAGGAGCUGCCAAGC